AUGUAGAGCCUUAUCAA
rnacentral:misc_RNA from 1 species